GGCCGCGAAUUCGCCCUUAGAGUUUGAUCAUGGCUCAGGACGAACGCUGGCGGCGUGCCUAACACAUGCAAGUCGAGCGGAACUGAUUAAGUUUACUUAAGCAGUUUAGCGGCGGACGGGUGAGUAACGCGUGAGUAACCUGCCUUAUACAGAGGGAUAGCCUUGAGAAAUCGGGAUUAAUACCUCAUAACAUAUUUUCAUCACAUGGUGAGAAUAUCAAAACUCCGGUGGUAUAAGAUGGACUCGCGUCCCAUUAGCUAGUUGGUGAAGUAACGGUUCACCAAGGCGACGAUGGGUAGCCGGCCUGAGAGGGUGGACGGCCACACUGGAACUGAGACACGGUCCAGACUCCUACGGGAGGCAGCAGUGGGGAAUAUUGCACAAUGGGGGAAACCCUGAUGCAGCGACGCCGCGUGAGCGAAGAAGGUUUUCGGAUCGUAAAGCUCUGUCCUCGGAGAAGAUAAUGACGGUAUCCGAGGAGGAAGCCCCGGCUAACUACGUGCCAGCAGCCGCGGUAAUACGUAGGGGGCGAGCGUUGUCCGGAAUUACUGGGCGUAAAGAGUACGUAGGCGGUUCAAUAAGUCAGGUGU
rnacentral:rRNA from 1 species